rnacentral:rRNA from 1 species
AUGCCGCGCCCGGGGCUGCCGGUGGUCUUGAGGACGACGCCCAGGCUCAAGGCGUACGAGGGCGUGCCGCCGCCGUACGACAGGACCAAGCGCAUGGUCAUCCCCGACGCGCUCAAGGUUCUGAGGCUGCAGCCUGGGCACAGGUACUGCCUCCUCGGCCAGCUCUCCAAGGAGGUCGGAUGGAACUACGCUCACACCAUCAGGCUUUUGUCAUAUAAACUCUCUUGUGGUGAUAAACGAUUUGUUCUUCGCUUUUUUGGCCUCUCCAGGCCCGGCAACCUUGUCCUAGCUGGGUCUGCAAAAUCUGAAGCCAAGGUUGUGCUCGUUGAUCCUGGAACUGUUGUCGAGAUGGAUGAAGAGGGGUGCUGGUUGGAGGACCCAGAACCCUCCCAGCUGCUGUGUCUCACGGUGCCCCUACCCUGCCUGCCUGAAUGGCCAAAUUAG